GUUAUCAUUUUGAAAAGAUGAGUACGCGGUUAUGAUUACUUAGAGAGUUCCUGAUUGGUGAAAGGGGAUUAAUCGUGAAGCUGAAGAUGGUCUUGAAGUAAUGAAGUUUAGUGAGCAGUCGCAAGCUAAGCUUGGGUCGCACCCAUUAUCAUGCGGAGUUCAAAGUAACUCUUGAGACAACUGGCGUGAGCUAGUUGUGAAGAUGGGUGGUACCACGAGGCUAAGCUUCUCGUCCUAUUG
rnacentral:ncRNA from 1 species